AUGCGUGGGCGUCAACUAGGAGGAAUCGCUAGCCUCCACUACUACUUAUUCACGGCCGGGGUUGCAGAGAGAGGCGUGCGUGCUGAGAUUUGGCUGUGCUCUGUUCCUCUUCCUCUCUCGCUCGCUACUCUGUCUUCCUCCUCAAAUCUUCCUCUGCACUUGAUCCAAACUCAAAUUCCAGAGAGAUAUCCAGUGGUAGCUAGAGGUCAGGGAGGGAGAGGGACAAUGGCGCGAGCCUUUCUUGCCUCCGCCGCUGCAGCGGGCUUCGGGGCGCAGGCGCAGCAGACUCCGUGGCUCCUUCUACUGCUGGUGGUGCUGGUCAUAUCGGUCUUCCUCUGCGGCGACACCUCCAAGAAGAAGAAGGCCAGUGCAAAGCGGGCGGCGGCGACCACUGCAAGUUCGUCGACCAAAUCAGCCGGCGGUAAUACCUUCCUCUUUCUUGCUGCGGGCGGAGGCGGAGGGGGCGGUGGCGGAGGGUGCGGUGGCGGUUGCGGUGCCUAG
rnacentral:rRNA from 1 species